rnacentral:rRNA from 1 species
UACGAAGGGUGCAAGCGUUACUCGGAAUUACUGGGCGUAAAGCGUGCGUAGGUGGUUUUUUAAGUCCGUUGUGAAAGCCCUGGGCUCAACCUGGGAAUGGCAGUGGAUACUGGAAAGCUAGAGUGCGGUAGAGGGUAGUGGAAUUCCCGGUGUAGCAGUGAAAUGCGUAGAGAUCGGGAGGAACACCAGUGGCGAAGGCGGCUACCUGGGCCAGCACUGACACUGAGGCACGAAAGCGUGGGGAGCAAACAGG